rnacentral:misc_RNA from 1 species
GGUUCACUAUCUAAUGUUUGGGUUAUUGCAGUGUAGCCGUAGAGGGGUCAUCUGAGGUCAUGCAGGUUCAGUUAUAUGAAUAUUUUGUCUUGUACUUAAAUAAAACUGCCAUACGAUUAUAUAAGCAGAAGCAAGAUCAUUAUUCUUGAGCACAGUGUAUUUAUUUUUAUUUGAUUGGAACUUUCCUAAGAUAAUAUAUAUGAUGCAAUGUGCUUGUUUCUAGCUUUUCAUCUUGUCAAUUGAAG